ACCAUACCACCUGGAAUGCUCCCAAUCUUGUAUGAUCUUGGAAGCUAAGCAGGGUUGGCCCUGAUUAAUACUUGGAUGGGAGAAGGCAUUGGUGCCUAGGGCAAGUU
rnacentral:rRNA from 1 species